rnacentral:rRNA from 2 species
CCGGAGGGAAACCGAGUCUUAAUUGGGCGUUAAGUUGCAGGGUAUAGACCCGAAACCCGGUGAUCUAGCCAUGGGCAGGUUGAAGGUUGGGUAACACUAACUGGAGGACCGAACCGACUAAUGUUGAAAAAUUAGCGGAUGACCUGUGGCUGGGGGUGAAAGGCCAAUCAAACCGGGAGAUAGCUGGUUCUCCCCGAAAGCUAUUUAGGUAGCGCCUCGUGAAUUCAUCUCCGGGGGUAGAGCACUGUUUCGGCUAGGGGGCCAUCCCGGCUUACCAACCCGAUGCAAACUGCGAAUACCGGAGAAUGUUAUCACGGGAGACACACGGCGGGUGCUAACGUCCGUCGUGAAGAGGGAAACAACCCAGACCGCCAGCUAAGGUCCCAAAGUCAUGGUUAAGUGGGAAACGAUGUGGGAAGGCCCAGACAGCCAGGAUGUUGGCUUAGAAGCAGCCAUCAUUUAAAGAAAGCGUAAUAGCUCACUGGUCGAGUCGGCCUGCGCGGAAGAUGUAACGGGGCUAAACCAU